rnacentral:lncRNA from 1 species
CACACUAAGUGUGUGGAUCGAUCUCCAGGAGCGACCAGGAGGGUGAAAACCCUAGAACUCAACAAAUCUUGCAAAUUCAAGGUUCAAUUCAAGUCCAAAUCGAAUUCUAAACAUAGAUUCCUGAUCCUCAUCACAAGGGGAUUACAAGUUUGACGCGUAACAAGCUAGGUGGAAGCUUGAUGAGGGAGCGGGUCAAACGAAUCAAGAAGGAAAGGAAAAAAAGCAUAGUUCGGACACGAGGUAAGUAUAUCUUACACUAGUCAUAUAUUUCAUAAUAUCCUUUUGUCGUAUUACGAAAAAAGAUAAUUUAUGACGUAAGCCGUAGUAGGCUAAAAAGUGUUAAGAAAUGGAAUUUUAAGUAAGUGACCGCACGGUGUAAAUCGGAGCGAGUCAUAUAUAUAUUUACGAGGUGGUAAUAAAUAUCAUCUCGCUAAUAUAAUCGGUCAAUUCGGCCAAACGGGUCAAAAGGUGAAAUUAUCACCCUUUGACGAUAUCGACUAAUGGGUUUACAAGAUGCAUGAUUUUAGGAAAUUAAUAGCACAUGGAUGCUUACAUCGCUAUCGCUUAGCAGCCACUAAGGAAAUGUAUUGAAACGGGUCAAUAUAUUGAUCCGAGCCAGGUGAAGAUGGGAUAAGCGGUUUGAAAGAUACGAAAGUUGUCGUGCAAAUAAACGGCAAAAUAGGAAAGCUGGAAUGCAGGGGCCACCGUAACUUACGGUGCCACCGUAAGUUACGGUGGAGCUGAAAGCUUUACGGUAGCUUCCUACUGAAUUACGGACACUUGCAUUUAAAGAUGACCAGAGUUGAACAAAUUAAGGAUAUGAUAGAGGAACGGUCCGAAGUAUGACGAUAGGAGCAUGCUCACUAAGGACUAAAUCGCGUAACGACCGCGAACAAGGUUAAUGGCAAGAAAUGCCCGUCGGGGCAAGUAUUACCAGGAGCGACCAGGAGGGUGAAAACCCUAGAACUCAACAAAUCUUGCAAAUUGAAGGUUCAAUUCAAGUCCAAAUCGAAUUCUAAACAUAGAUUCCUGAUCCUCAUCACAAGGGGAUUACAAGUUUGACGCGUAACAAGCUAGGUGGAAGCUUAAUGAGGGAGCAGGCCAAACGAAUCAAGAAGGAAAGGAAAAAAAGCAUAGUUCGGACACGAGGUAAGUAUAUCUUACACUAGUCAUAUAUUUCAUAAUAUCCUUUUGUCGUAUUACGAAAAAAGAUAAUUUAUGACGUAAGCCGUAGUAGGCUAAAAAGUGUUAAGAAAUGGAAUUUUAAGUAAGUGACCGCACGGUGUAAAUCGGAGCGAGUCAUAUAUAUAUUUACGAGGUGGUAAUAAAUAUCAUCUCGCUAAUAUAAUCGGUCAAUUCGGCCAAACGGGUCAAAAGGUGAAAUUAUCACCCUUUGAUGAUAUCGACUAAUGGGUUGUCAAGAUGCAUGAUUUUAGGAAAUAAAUAGCACAUGGAUGCUUACAUCGCUAUCGCUUAGCAGCCACUAAGGAAAUGUAUUGAAACGGGUCAAUAUAUUGAUCCGAGCCAGGUGAAGAUGGGAUAAGCGGUUUGAAAGAUACGAAAGUUGUCGUGCAAAUAAACGGCAAAAUAGGAAAGCUGGAAUGCAGGGGCCACCGUAACUUACGGUGCCACCGUAAGUUACGGUGGAGCUGAAAGCUUUACGGUAGCUUCCUACUGAAUUACGGUGAAUGUCAAGAGUCCCGGAUAAAGAUCAAGCAUCGAGCAAGAACCGAACACGCGUUAAAUAAAGCUUCCGCAAUGUUGUUUCGUCAUUAUUUUAAAACGGCGAAUUAAACCACUUUAUGUGGUAUUACUAUAAUUUGUAAAAGUUUUCUUUAAUCCCGUAUUUCCAAUGUAUGUAAUCAUUAAUUACAUGAAUGUUUUCGCAAAAUAUACGUUAAACCUUGAUUUAUAAGAACUGGU